rnacentral:rRNA from 1 species
GACGAACGCUGGCGGCGUGCCUAACACAUGCAAGUCCACGAGAAAGCGGUAGCAAUACUGCCGGUAAAGUGGCGAACGGGUGAGUAACACGUAGGUAACUUGCCCUUGGGACUGGAAUAACCUCGAGAAAUCGGGGCUAAUACCGGAUAAUGCAGCGGACCCGCAUGUGUAUGUUGUUAAAGUGGUCUUGGCUUGCCAAGUUCACACCUAAGGAUGGACCUGCGUCCCAUUAGCUAGUGGUGAGGUAACGGCUCACCAAGGCGACGAUGGGUAGCCGGCCUGAGAGGGUGUCCGGCCACACUGGGACUGAGAUACGGCCCAGACUCCUACGGGAGGCAGCAGUGAGGAAUAUUGGUCAAUGGCCGAAAGGCUGAACCAGCAACGCCGCGUGAGGGAUGACGGCCU